CACAUUAAUGACAGUCGGCUCAGCAUAUGUAGAUAUUUCUAAAACAGGAGAUGGCAGGAAUAUACACGUUUUACGUUGCCGGAAUCUAAACAAAAGAUGCGUCAGAGCCGUUAAAGCGGGUUGACAUAUGCAUGUAUAAGAGACUCGUUGGUGUCAAGCGUCUUCAAAGAACCUGAUCGAUACCCGUAUAUUCACGUGGUUUGAUCAAUAAGCAUACAGCCGCGGACUGUAACUUUAGUUUUUAGAAGUGAACUAGAGGGAGCAGGACCGCCAGCUAAUUAUUGUUGUAGAUUAAUUGCUUGCGAUAAAGAUUGCUGUCGAGAGAGCAAACAGAGUGUCCGGUCGUUGUUGAAGAGAGACGUGAUAUUCUGACGAGGGAACCAAACACGAUAUUUGGAGAAGACUUAAUUGCAGUGCUGCGUUUGUUGCGGAUUACCAUCCGAUAACAGUACCAAUAUGAGUGUGAAAGGGAAGGGGAAUGAUGGAUACAGAUGGGUUAUUGACUUUUCCUUUAGAGAAAAUGGAUGUUUUCAAAAGCAACUUAUGCAAGGGCCUUGGUUUGACACCCAGGGGGAGGCGGAGGAAGAUGCGAAUUCAAACGGGAAAAAUACCGUAGAAGAUUGGCCUAAUGGCAAAAUACACUCCAUCUACUUUGAAGAUAGCAAAGGGAACAAAGUGGGACCAAAGUCUAAGAGUAAAUAGAAAGAAUGUCUAAAAGAAUUGUUACGAAGUGUUAUUCUUUACUGAGCAUUUGGUAGAAGCUCAUAAUAUGAUGGAACCAUAUUUGCGAUUUAUAUAUAUUUUAUUUUGAUAUUGUAUUUCUACAUUCUUACAAUCGGAUGGAAUCUAAAUAAUUGGUAUGUGAUCCACGGACUUUCUUUGCAAUACAGUGUUGUCGGGAUAAUUAUGUUGCAUUAUGAUGUUCCUUUAUUCUUGGAUGUAUCUACAAACUGACACCGGAAGUCGUGCUAAUGUGUUACAAUGAACUGCAUGCCGGUAUAUUUCUUAACUGUGGCCUACAUUGUCAAGUGUCAGUUUUAAUAUACAACUGAUAUACAUUAAUUUGGUGCCGUGUACAUUUUUGCAUGACAUGUACACAUGAUUCCAAGAUAAUUGUUUACGUCUGUUUUAACUUUAUGUGUAUAAAAAUUGUUACAAAGUCAGUAUUCAAAACAUGUUACAUAAUAAUCGCAAUAUGGAUAUACAUCUACUUAAUUAUACCGUGUGCACAUAUUUGCCUGACGUGUACACAUUAUUUGAUGGGUUACUAUCAUCUACAUCUCACUGUACAAUUGGAGGGAUGGUUGGGAUUUGGGAAAUCUUAACGAGAUUUUAAAAAUCUCAAAAACGUGCUUAUUUCAAAUGCAUUAUGGGUAAUACAUGUACCUUGAUUAAAUCAAGUUCAUGCUGCUGAUUUGACUGUGGUAAAUAGUUUAUCUUUCUUGAGUUCAAGUAUAAGCUGUGCAUUUUGCAUUCCCUGGCACUCGUGCAUGUCCGCUUUAUGUAUAUACAAAUGUACACGUGUUUGCACUGCAAGGGAUCGAACAUGGUUUCGCAUGUGUCAGGAUGGUCACGUGACCUAAUAAAUACAAAUUUAAGUAUUAUCACAAGACGAAUUUCGUCUGCAACAGGGUAGUAGUAUUGUAGGCCUAUGUCACACACAGUCUCAAUUGAAACAUCUCGGCUAUUUCCGCCAUGAUUCGGAAUCGAAGCCUUAACGGAAAUGGCCGAAAUGUUACGAUUGCUACAGUCUAUCUCACUUUGCACUAUUUUCCUCCUUUUGUACAGAGCGUGGACGACGAUACAUUUCAGUAAAUUAUCUUUAGACUUCCCCGGGGCAUUUGCUGAAUAAAUAAGUGAUAGUGAUUCUGAAUGAAGAACGCUCCUCGGUACGAUCUUCAAUCCAAUAUAAUAUGAUACGACUUGGACUGUAUGUAUAUGCAAAUUAGUAAUGGAUAUAUGAUAUAUGAGUAGAUAUCUAUUUGUAUAUAUUUGCUUAUAAUCUUCAUUCCCAUAUACACGCUUGGAGAAGGCAUUCAUGUGUCUGCUAGGGUCGCGUUAGAGCUUGCAUAAUGUUAGAUCACGUGAUCAUGUAGAUAGCGCCAGGCUGUUCAGAUGAUGCCUUUCGAUACAAUAAAAACGCUUACUCUCCAGGAACACAUGGUCAUAUAAUUCUGGAAUAUUUUUUACAAGUAACCACAACUGUCAAGGAAUAGUGUCUGCUUACACCAAGCUCGCCAAAAACGUUUUCUUUCAAAUAUCCGAGCUGGUAUAAAUAAGAAGCUAUGGUAUUGUUUUGUUUAUCGGUCCACCGACAAUUUGAGUCGAUUAGAGCCAGACUUGGAAGGUUUAUGUCUUUGGUGGCGGGUUAAGGGGGUAGCUGUUCCCAUGCCACACACAUCAACCCCAUCAAUCACCUUUGUGGAGUACAUAAGCGGGUACCCAAUAAGUCAGCGUUAUGUACAUACAAGUUAAGUUGAGAAAAAUGAUAUUUCGUACACGCUCUCAACAUUCGAGAAAACUUAGUGAGGUACAGUGUAGCUUGUAGAUUUUACAACUUUAUAUAAACAUAUGUAUAUCAUAUUUUAUCAUCUUGAAGUUAUAUUUAUCGUAGUCCGUAGUACUCCGUAGGUUUGUACUUUGUAGGUUUUGUAUCGAACUCCGCAAUGUUAAAGCCUCUCUUUGUUUUGUUUGUAGAUAUAAAAUGUAACUCUCUUCAACUCAUAAGUGAAGUAUACAAUUCAAUUCAUUAACAUCUAAAAAUAGAACGUGAAUGUAUAUCCCCACCUUUCUUCAAAACAAACCAGUUCUCGCAUGCGUGCAUGACAUAUUCUCCUCGUCUCAUUUAUGUAUAGAGAGUUGAGCACCGCAUCAAAGUUUUCCCAUAAUCAGGGGGUUGUUUCUCAGAUUUUAAUUGUUAUUAUGAAUAACUACGGUAUAGAUAUCAGAUGAUAUCAACAACAGGUUAGAUAUCAUAUGUUUUAAAACAUUUUUUUUUUAAUUUUUAACCAAAAUAUAGAGAGGCUUUAAGUGUUAUUUUUAAGUAAGAGUGAGUAUGGAUAUAGUUGUACCCCUGUUUAAUAUGAACGAAAAGGAAAGAGAGGAACAAUCUGUAUUCUUAUCUUCGAGUUCUAUUUCUUGUUGUAAAUUCUCGUUGAUAUUUAUUUUUAAGAAUAUUCUAAUAAAAGGUUAAUCAAUCAUA